CAAAUAAAAUGUAACAAUAAAGUUGCAUGACAUCAAAGUUCAGAAGUUUUCUGAUGUUUUUCUGGGUAAACAAAAGGAGGAAGACAAAGUGAAAGAGAACUUGAUCAACAACAUUUGUUUAUACCAAAAUAUAAUCCAUUGAUACCAAAAUAAGUUCCAACUACAUUCAACAUAUUAAAACAAGUGAUCCAAAGAAAAGAUAAGCAGAAACCAAAACCAUCAAAAGUAUCUCAGAACAAAACACAGGAAAGAAGCAAUAUCAACCAAAGUUUACUUGAUCUUCUUCUUUGGCCUCAACUGCAAUAAACAAAACAAAAAAGCACAAAAGCAAACAUCAACACACCGUAACCAAAACACAGCACAAAAUUACAAACAGCAUUGCCUCGCACUUACUUGAUUGCUAUGACCACACUUCUUCUUGCGGCAGUUCACAGCCCUGGGAUGAAGACGGGCAUAACAUCUACAAACAAAAAAAAAAACCCAAAAUCACACUUAGGUCAAAAUUAAAAAUUUGCACUAACUAUGAAAUUGAAUAAAAAGAACAAUAUCUAAAAUGUACCAAAUCGAGAAAAUCAACUGGAAAAUAUUAAAUCCAGGUGAUAAAGUAAGAAAUGGGUCAUUAUAGGGAACUUAUAUAACCCCGAUUGCACUUUUAACCAACAAAAGAGGCUAAGUUAUAGUCCCAUAAAUAUCGCUCUACAGACAACAAGAAACAGAACUUAUUACAUUAAGGGCAGUCUGGAUUAGCUUAUAAGCUUACUUUUAAGCUUAUGAAAAGAAAGAAAAAAAUAGGUUAUGCAAAUAAAUACGCUCAUUCAUAAAUUGUAUAAGCUUUUUUUUUUUAUCUUUUCCAAACUUAUGAAUAAUAAAUAAAAGUGUAUUGAUUUACAUGAGCUGUUAUGUAUAAGCUCAAAAAUCACUCAAUCCAAACGGGAAAAUGGGAUCGGCCACUUUAAUCAAACAGGGACAUAAUUAUCUAUCAUAUACAAUAUAACUAGCCUAUUCAUUAAUAUCAAAAUCAACAAUUUAAAUGAAAUAAUAAUAAAUUGAUAUAAGAAAUGAUGAAACGUACUUGCGGCAUAUAGUUUUGUCUUGGUUGUAUUUCCUUGCCAAAGCCAUCAAAGAAGGUUCAAUGAUACCCCCACGAAGCCUGAGAACGAGAUGAAGAGUCGAUUCCUUCUGGAUAUUGUAAUCAGCUAAGGUGCGUCCAUCUUCAAGCUGCUUACCAGCGAAAAUCAAUCGCUGCUGAUCCGGUGGAAUACCUGAUUAUUUCGUUCAAAAGCGCGUUUGGUUAAAUAUACAAAUCAGAUUAUGAAACACGAUUAAUACAUGAUUAGGAAUGUAUUGUGUUGUUACCUUCCUUAUCUUGAAUUUUGGCCUUGACAUUGUCGAUUGUGUCACUGCUCUCAACCUCGAGGGUGAUGGUUUUCCCGGUUAGGGUUUUCACGAAGAUCUGCAUAUUUGCGGC
rnacentral:lncRNA from 1 species